UUAAGCGACUAAGCGUACACGGUGGAUGCCCUGGCAGUCAGAGGCGAUGAAGGACGUGCUAAUCUGCGAUAAGCGUCGGUAAGGUGAUAUGAACCGUUAUAACCGGCGAUUUCCGAAUGGGGAAACCCAGUGUGUUUCGACACACUAUCAUUAACUGAAUCCAUAGGUUAAUGAGGCGAACCGGGGGAACUGAAACAUCUAAGUACCCCGAGGAAAAGAAAUCAACCGAGAUUCCCCCAGUAGCGGCGAGCGAACGGGGAGCAGCCCAGAGCCUGAAUCAGUGUGUGUGUUAGUGGAAGCGUCUGGAAAGGCGCGCGAUACAGGGUGACAGCCCCGUACACAAAAAUGCACAUGCUGUGAGCUCGAUGAGUAGGGCGGGACACGUGGUAUCCUGUCUGAAUAUGGGGGGACCAUCCUCCAAGGCUAAAUACUCCUGACUGACCGAUAGUGAACCAGUACCGUGAGGGAAAGGCGAAAAGAACCCCGGCGAGGGGAGUGAAAAAGAACCUGAAACCGUGUACGUACAAGCAGUGGGAGCACGCUUAGGCGUGUGACUGCGUACCUUUUGUAUAAUGGGUCAGCGACUUAUAUUCUGUAGCAAGGUUAACCGAAUAGGGGAGCCGAAGGGAAACCGAGUCUUAACUGGGCGUUAAGUUGCAGGGUAUAGACCCGAAACCCGGUGAUCUAGCCAUGGGCAGGUUGAAGGUUGGGUAACACUAACUGGAGGACCGAACCGACUAAUGUUGAAAAAUUAGCGGAUGACUUGUGGCUGGGGGUGAAAGGCCAAUCAAACCGGGAGAUAGCUGGUUCUCCCCGAAAGCUAUUUAGGUAGCGCCUCGUGAAUUCAUCUCCGGGGGUAGAGCACUGUUUCGGCAAGGGGGUCAUCCCGACUUACCAACCCGAUGCAAACUGCGAAUACCGGAGAAUGUUAUCACGGGAGACACACGGCGGGUGCUAACGUCCGUCGUGAAGAGGGAAACAACCCAGACCGCCAGCUAAGGUCCCAAAGUCAUGGUUAAGUGGGAAACGAUGUGGGAAGGCCCAGACAGCCAGGAUGUUGGCUUAGAAGCAGCCAUCAUUUAAAGAAAGCGUAAUAGCUCACUGGUCGAGUCGGCCUGCGCGGAAGAUGUAACGGGGCUAAACCAUGCACCGAAGCUGCGGCAGCGACGCUUAUGCGUUGUUGGGUAGGGGAGCGUUCUGUAAGCCUGUGAAGGUGUGCUGUGAGGCAUGCUGGAGGUAUCAGAAGUGCGAAUGCUGACAUAAGUAACGAUAAAGCGGGUGAAAAGCCCGCUCGCCGGAAGACCAAGGGUUCCUGUCCAACGUUAAUCGGGGCAGGGUGAGUCGACCCCUAAGGCGAGGCCGAAAGGCGUAGUCGAUGGGAAACAGGUUAAUAUUCCUGUACUUGGUGUUACUGCGAAGGGGGGACGGAGAAGGCUAUGUUGGCCGGGCGACGGUUGUCCCGGUUUAAGCGUGUAGGCUGGUUUUCCAGGCAAAUCCGGAAAAUCAAGGCUGAGGCGUGAUGACGAGGCACUACGGUGCUGAAGCAACAAAUGCCCUGCUUCCAGGAAAAGCCUCUAAGCAUCAGGUAACAUCAAAUCGUACCCCAAACCGACACAGGUGGUCAGGUAGAGAAUACCAAGGCGCUUGAGAGAACUCGGGUGAAGGAACUAGGCAAAAUGGUGCCGUAACUUCGGGAGAAGGCACGCUGAUAUGUAGGUGAAGUCCCUUGCGGAUGGAGCUGAAAUCAGUCGAAGAUACCAGCUGGCUGCAACUGUUUAUUAAAAACACAGCACUGUGCAAACACGAAAGUGGACGUAUACGGUGUGACGCCUGCCCGGUGCCGGAAGGUUAAUUGAUGGGGUUAGCGGUAACGCGAAGCUCUUGAUCGAAGCCCCGGUAAACGGCGGCCGUAACUAUAACGGUCCUAAGGUAGCGAAAUUCCUUGUCGGGUAAGUUCCGACCUGCACGAAUGGCGUAAUGAUGGCCAGGCUGUCUCCACCCGAGACUCAGUGAAAUUGAACUCGCUGUGAAGAUGCAGUGUACCCGCGGCAAGACGGAAAGACCCCGUGAACCUUUACUAUAGCUUGACACUGAACAUUGAGCCUUGAUGUGUAGGAUAGGUGGGAGGCUUUGAAGUGUGGACGCCAGUCUGCAUGGAGCCGACCUUGAAAUACCACCCUUUAAUGUUUGAUGUUCUAACGUUGACCCGUAAUCCGGGUUGCGGACAGUGUCUGGUGGGUAGUUUGACUGGGGCGGUCUCCUCCUAAAGAGUAACGGAGGAGCACGAAGGUUGGCUAAUCCUGGUCGGACAUCAGGAGGUUAGUGCAAUGGCAUAAGCCAGCUUGACUGCGAGCGUGACGGCGCGAGCAGGUGCGAAAGCAGGUCAUAGUGAUCCGGUGGUUCUGAAUGGAAGGGCCAUCGCUCAACGGAUAAAAGGUACUCCGGGGAUAACAGGCUGAUACCGCCCAAGAGUUCAUAUCGACGGCGGUGUUUGGCACCUCGAUGUCGGCUCAUCACAUCCUGGGGCUGAAGUAGGUCCCAAGGGUAUGGCUGUUCGCCAUUUAAAGUGGUACGCGAGCUGGGUUUAGAACGUCGUGAGACAGUUCGGUCCCUAUCUGCCGUGGGCGCUGGAGAACUGAGGGGGGCUGCUCCUAGUACGAGAGGACCGGAGUGGACGCAUCACUGGUGUUCGGGUUGUCAUGCCAAUGGCACUGCCCGGUAGCUAAAUGCGGAAGAGAUAAGUGCUGAAAGCAUCUAAGCACGAAACUUGCCCCGAGAUGAGUUCUCCCUGACCCUUUAAGGGUCCUGAAGGAACGUUGAAGACGACGACGUUGAUAGGCCGGGUGUGUAAGCGCAGCGAUGCGUUGAGCUAACCGGUACUAAUGAACCGUGAGGCUUAACCU
rnacentral:rRNA from 1 species